AAUUAUUUAGUAUUAUUAAAAGUCAUCUUAUAAUAUAUUUUUUUAAUAAUUCAAUAGGUAUAUCUUUAUCAUCCAAGCAACAAAGUUCAUUUACCAUCAACCUUACGAACAUUCCACAAAUAAAUGAGAUUCGCCAAUGGUAAACUAAUUUAUACUUAAUUUUUAUAAAUUAUUUCUCAUUACACCUGUCCAUAAAUAAUUCUUAUAUAUCUAAUACUUUUAUCCUAUAAAUUAAUAGGAGCAUUAACAAUGAAGAAUACCUAUCUCCAUUAUCAGUGAGAAAAGACUCUUCCCAACCUAAACUGCUUUAAGAACUCUUCAAUAUAAUAAUAUCAUUACUAUUAAUGGCAUUCAAAAUCUUCCACAAGAGCAAACUACUUUUUGGAUCAAUGCAUCAAUCUCUAUCAAAAAUUUAAGACAACUCUUCUGGUACAUGGCUUGCACAAAAUGCCGUCAAAAAGCAGAUCUUGACAACUGUGGAUGCAACGAAUUAUCUGUUGAGACAAUUCUAAGAUGGCGCUUUCAAGCUCAACUAACAGACCACACAGGCUCACUAAUAGCAACAUUCUUCGGCAAAAAUGCAGAAAAGUUUGUAAAUUGUACCGCACAAGAACUUAUUCACAUCUCAAAUGUAAAUUCUACUACUUAAACUCAUUCACUUCAUUAGCAUAUAUUAAUAUUACUAUCUUUCUCAAUGAUGUUGUUAAUAAAAAGAUCAAAACAUAUUAUCGGUUGCAAGGCUUUUUACAACGAGUAAAUUUUUUAUUUACUUAAAAGCAAGAGCGGAUGCAUAUAGUGGCGGAAGUCAAACCAAAUACAACAUUAUCUCACUGCUCGAAAGUGAUGCUGAGUCGAGCAUUUCAAAUACUACUAAUGAUACUUGAAGUAUCUACAAAAUAAUAUAAAUAUAUAUAUAUGUACAAAUAUUAUAAAUACAAUGUAAAAUAUAUUUAAAUAAUAAGCAUCUGAUAUAGGAUACUAUUAUAUGUAGUUAAAAUGCUUAGCUUUAAUUAGUUUGUAAUUAUUAUUGUAUAAUAUAAUAUAUAUUUACAUUUUCUACUUCAUUUUAAAAUAUUAAAUCUUAAUUUCAUAUUUUAUAUUUUAUCACAAUUAAUUAUACAAUAAAAAUGAAAAUAAAAAAAAAUCAAAUGAACAGUUUAACACGUGCAAUUGCACGUGUAAACUCACCUAGUAUAUAAAAAUAUAUUCAAGAGGUUCUUAUCAUUAUUUCU